rnacentral:tRNA from 1 species
GUUUUCAUAAUUUAAUUAAAAUAUUAGUCUUGUAAACUAAAAAUAAGAUAACCUUUGAAAACA